CCUACGUGUGGCAGCAGUGGGGAAUAUUGGGCAAUGGGCGCAAGCCUGACCCAGCAACGCCGCGUGAAGGAAGAAGGCCCUCGGGUUGUAAACUUCUUUUAUUCGGGACGAAACAAAUGACGGUACCGAAUGAAUAAGCCACGGCUAACUACGUGCCAGCAGCCGCGGUAAUACGUAGGUGGCAAGCGUUAUCCGGAUUUACUGGGUGUAAAGGGCGUGUAGGCGGGAGAGCAAUUCAGACGGGAAAUUCCAGGGCUUAACCCUGGAACUGCGUUUGAAACUGUUUUUCUUGAGUGCUGGAGAGGCAAUCGGAAUUCCGUGUGUAGCGGUGAAAUGCGUAGAUAUACGGAGGAACACCAGUGGCGAAGGCGGAUUGCUGGACAGUAACUGACGCUGAGGCGCGAAAGCGUGGGGAGCAAACAGGAUUAGAUACCCCAGUAGUC
rnacentral:rRNA from 1 species